GUCUACAGCCAUGCCACCCUGAACAAGCCGGAUGUCUGAUCUCAGAAGCUAAAACAGGGUGGGGCCUGGUUAGUACUUGGAUGGGAGACCACCUAGGAAGACCAGAUGCUGUAGGCA
rnacentral:rRNA from 1 species